GUCAUCGAACCGGCGAGAAACGAGACAGUAAGAGAAUUUCUUGAGGCCUAAUUGGGAGGGUAAAGACUCAGCGCUCCGACCGAACCCGGCUAUUCCAGCGGGCUGUCGGUUGGAGAGGAUGGAGCACCCGACAAGGAAAUCUUGGAAGGUUUUCUGGGGGAAAACAAGGUUUUCUACUAAUAGAAGCCCAGCAGUGGAACCUAAACCGUAUUGAAUUAGGUAAGGAGGGCAAGUUUGAGUGCAGUUUUCGGAAGUGGGUUCACAGUCUUGGCAACGAGACGCAACGUCGGGGCCAAAAAGCCAACUACACUUGGGG
rnacentral:lncRNA from 1 species